GUGGAGGCACUUGAGGAUGGAGGAAACAAAUGUGCUGACGUUCAGAUCCUGCCAGAUCUGAAAUAAUUAGCUUUUUGGGAUUCCAAGCAUCUGCAUAUUUUUGCUUCUGCAUGCACAACUCUGUGCAUUCAUUCUUCAAGUGUCUGCAAUGGUUCAAGAAGUCAAUUCACCACCAUCUUCUCAAGAGCAGAAUACUGUAUAAGAAAAAUAUUAUGCUGAGAUGAGGCUGAGUUGCUGGCUCAACACUCAACCCUACAAGGAGACAGCCGGACUCGAACCUGGGACCACUUGCCUCGAACUCCAGUGCUGAUGACACUGCCAGCCAUCUAAGUGAUUCUUGCAGCAUGGUCAAUUUUACAUGUUGAAAUCCAUUUCUAAACAUCUACAGUAUUCAGGAAAUGUUGUAGUGUGUGACUAUAUAGUGUGUUUAGAGUUGAUAAUACAAAUAUUGCCCCAUUGACAGCUGUUUAAUAAAUAUUUAAUAAAUAAAACUUAAUGCAAGUAGUUGUAUUCCAAAUACUAUUUCCAUUGUUUACAUGUUUGCAGUCCAUUUUAAUAAUUCAUUUGCAGCAGAAUGCUGUUGAAGGAAUGGUAAAUAUAUAUGUAAGUUCCCAGCUGCCAUCAGGAAUUGAUCAAAACCAAUUAUUUUGCACAGUUGAAUAACAUAUAUUUGUUUACUUCCUUAAAUGUCUCCACAAAAUUA